ACUCCUACGGGAGGCAGCAGUGGGAAGUAUUGCACAAUGGGCAGGCAAGCCAUGAUGCAGCCAUGCCGCGUGUAUGAAGAAGGCCUUCGGGUUGUAAAGUACUUUCAGCAGUGAGGAAGGUGGAGUCGUUAAUAGCGGCCUCAUUUGACGUUAGCUGCAGAAGAAGCACCGGCUAACUCCGUGCCAGCAGCCGCGGUAAUACGGAGGGUGCGAGCGUUAAUCGGAAUUACUGGGCGUAAAGCGCAUGCAGGUGGUUUGUUAAGUCAGAUGUGAAAGCCCGGGGCUCAACCUCGGAAUAGCAUUUGAAACUGGCAGACUAGAGUACU
rnacentral:rRNA from 1 species